AUUGAACGCUGGCGGCAUGCUUUACACAUGCAAGUCGAACGGCAGCGCGGGCUUCGGCCUGGCGGCGAGUGGCGAACGGGUGAGUAAUGCAUCGGAACGUGCCCAGUAGUGGGGGCUAGCCCGGCUACAGCCGGAUUAAUACCGCAUACGACCUGAUGGUGAAAGCGGGGGACCGAAAGGCCUCGCGCUUUUUGAUCGGCCGAUGUCGGAUUAGCUAGUUGGUGGGGUAAAGGCUUACCAAGGCGACGAUCCGUAGCUGGUCUGAGAGGACGACCAGCCACACUGGGACUGAGACACGGCCCAGACUCCUACGGGAGGCAGCAGUGGGGAAUUUUGGACAAUGGGGGCAACCCUGAUCCAGCCAUGCCGCGUGCGGGAAGAAGGCCUUCGGGUUGUAAACCGCUUUUGUUCGGGAAGAAAACCUCUGGGCUAAUACCCCGGGGGGAUGACGGUACCGGAAGAAUAAGCACCGGCUAACUACGUG
rnacentral:rRNA from 1 species